rnacentral:rRNA from 1 species
CCUACGGGUGGCAGCAGUCGAGAAUUUUUCUCAAUGGGGGAAACCCUGAAGGAGCGACGCCGCGUGGAGGAUGAAGGCUUUCGGGUUGUAAACUCCUGUCAUUUGGGAACUAGUACCAGAAGAGGAAGAGACGGCUAACUCUGUGCCAGCAGCCGCGGUAAUACAGAGGUCUCGAGCGUUGUUCGGAUUCAUUGGGCGUAAAGGGUGCGUAGGUGGCGCCGUAAGUCGGGUGUGAAAUUUCGGAGCUUAACUCCGAAACUGCAUUCGAUACUGCGGUGCUUGAGGACUGGAGAGGAGACUGGAAUUCAUGGUGUAGCAGUGAAAUGCGUAGAGAUCAUGAGGAAGACCAGUGGCGAAGGCGGGUCUCUGGACAGUCCUGACACUGAGGCACGAAGGCCAGGGGAGCAAACGGGAUUAGAUACCCUUGUAGUC